rnacentral:lncRNA from 1 species
UUCUACUCCCUCAGCAGAUGAUUACAGUUCUGGCAAUGCACCGAGCAUUGCUGUAGGCGUUGAGAUCCGUGGAUAAGACAGAAGAUCCCUGCCUCUGCCUGGCCUAAGCAGGGCAACAGAGAACAACGGACACAAUGCAUAAGUCAGUAACAAAGUGAAGUGAGAGAGGCCAUUGCACUCAUCUUAAAGAGGAGGAAACUGGAGUUCCCAUCCUGGCUCAGUGUU